ensembl:processed_transcript Gas5 growth arrest specific 5
AAGAAAGGUAAGCAUUGUAAGUUUGGUAUUUACUAUAUGAAUUAAGGUACUGUUAGUGAUGAUCAAUAAAGUUAAACAGAUGGGAAUCUCUCUGAAUAAGAUUGAAGAUUGAUUGUUAAGCUGAAACAGUAUUUAAGGACAUCAGUAAAUAUACUUUACAAAUACAUAUUUCUAAACGGAGUGUAAUUUCUUACAGGUAUUACGCAUGGGUCACCUCAAGUGAAGGCACUGCAAACACAAUGAUUGGUCAUUCUGAAUUUCCGGUCCUUCAUUCUGAAUUUCAAAGUAAGUCUCAGUCACUUGUUUUUGUACAGAUUGUAAUAGAGCUUGUAACCAGUGAUGUGAUGAUUCUGCCAAAUGAUACAAAGUGAUAUC